rnacentral:lncRNA from 1 species
UCACGCACUCUAGAGACAGAACUGUUGUUUGGACAGCUAACCGUGACAGACCAGUCAACGGCCAGGGCUCCAGAGCUUCUCUGCGGAGAAAUGGCGCCAUGGUCUUAACUGAUGUUGAUGACACAGUCAUUUGGAUGACUAACACAACCUCUACUAGUGCUGAUAGAGCAGAGCUUCUGGAUACUGGAAAUCUUGUUCUCAAGGACAGACAUGGUAAAAUCCUAUGGCAAAGCUUUGAUUUUCCUACUGAUACACUCCUUCCUAAUCAAGUAUUUAGAAAGAGCACUAAGCUGAUUUCUGGAGUAGGAAAUGGAACUUAUGCAUCUGGGUAUUUUAGUUUAUAUUUUGAUAAUGAUAAUGUAUUGAGGUUGAUGUAUGAUGGGCCUGAAAUUUCAAGUGUGUACUGGCCAGAUCCUGAUCUUAAUGUGUUCCAAAAUGGAAGAACAAAUUAUAACAGUAGCAGAAUAGCUGUUUUUGAUGAUUUUGGCAGUUUCUCAUCAAGUGAUGAGUUGAAAUUCAGUGCUACAGACAUGGGUUUCGGGAUCAAAAGAAGGUUGACAAUGGAUUAUGAUGGAAACCUCAGGCUUUACAGUCUUAACAAGGUGACGGGAUCAUGGAUGAUUUCUUGGCAAGCUCUUAUGCAGCCAGGUAAAGUGCAUGGUGUCUGUGGUAAAAAUGGGAUUUGCACUUAUAAGCCAGAGCCAAAGUGCUCAUGUCCACCCGGGUAUGAGGCAACUGAGCCGGGGGCUGUAGCCAAACCGGCCAUGACGACGAUGAUUAAAAAAAUGGCUUUGGCUAAGUUACGUUAAACGUAACUUACGCCAGAUACAACAACAGUACUAGUGAUGGGACUUAUCACUGUUGCUGUGCCUGACAUAAGUUACGUUUAACGUAACUUAGCCGGCUCCUUAAAAAAUAUAUUCUGAUUGAAAAACCAAGUAAAGCCCGGAACCAGAUUUUUCUUUGGAAACUUGGUCACCGAAAAGCUUUUCACCAAUUAAAACUUCUAUCCAGAUUUUGUAAGCUGAUCCCCCAGGUUUCCAUGAAUCCAAAUUCUCCAUCAUUUCUCACUGUUCUCAUAUUUUUACUCUUGUGUUUUCAAACAUCGGAAAGCCAAAACUUCUUGCGUAGGGGCUCUUCUCUAUCUGCUGAAGAUAAUACAGGCGUGUUGAGUUCCCCAGACAAAACAUUCAGUUGUGGCUUUUAUGGCCUCGGUGGAAAUGCUUAUUUGUUCUCAAUCUGGUUCACGCACUCUAGAGACAGAACUGUUGUUUGGACAGCUAACCGUGACAGACCAGUCAACGGCCAGGGCUCCAGAGCUUCUCUGCGGAGAAAUGGCGCCAUGGUCUUAACUGAUGUUGAUGACACAGUCAUUUGGAUGACUAACACAACCUCUACUAGUGCUGAUAGAGCAGAGCUUCUGGAUACUGGAAAUCUUGUUCUCAAGGACAGACAUGGUAAAAUCCUAUGGCAAAGCUUUGAUUAUCCUACUGAUACACUCCUUCCUAAUCAAGUAUUUAGAAAGAGCACUAAGCUGAUUUCUGGAGUAGGAAACGGAACUUAUGCGUCAGGGUAUUUUAGUUUAUAUUUUGAUAAUGAUAAUGUAUUGAGGUUGAUGUAUGAUGGGCCUGAAAUUUCAAGUGUGUACUGGCCAGAUCCCGAUUUUGAUGUGUUCCAAAAUGGAAGAACAAAGUAUAACAGUAGCAGAAUAGCUGUUUUAGAUGAUUUUGGCAGUUUCUCAUCAAGUGAUGAGUUGAAAUUCAGUGCUAUAGACAUGGGUUUCGGGAUAAAAAGGAGGUU